rnacentral:piRNA from 1 species
UCAGAGGGGAAAAAGUAUCUGCUGAUUGAU